AGCCGCGUCGCUUUGGGGAUGGGGGUGGGGGGGGAGUAAGGGGAGAAUUUCUUCCCAGUCUCUGUGUCACCCACCCAGGGUAUGGUCCUUCCCGCCGCCCACCAAUUCAUUUCCUUCCCGGUGGAUAAAUCACUUGGAUUCCGCGCGCCUGCCACCUCCAGCAGGUUCUCAGGAUCUGGGGGCGAAGUGGGGCGCGCUCCCACCGACUGGCGUCGAGCAGAAGAGACCCUCAUCUCGGGUGAGACUUUCCGCCCAUCAAUAUCAGCUCCGUGCCCUCGAUUCAGGAUCGACAGAAAUCCAGACCAGUGAAUUUCCUUUUGACUUCAGUUCAUGGUGGGUUCCAUAUAGCCAACUUGAACGGUUUUGAUUCUGCGCUUGAGAAGUUGAACCUCCAAAAGUAAUUCCUGUCCUUCCCCUACCUCAUGCCCCACCACUAUGAACUCUCAUGGAUUGUUUUCUCUUUGGGCGGCUUCCCAAUUUUCAUUCAUUUCCUCUGCCCUCAUAUCAAAGUACUGUGGGGUGUCAUUGUUAGCCCAGUUAUAUAACCAAGUAUGAUAAGAAAACACGUUCAAGUAUGUAUUUAAACAAAUGUGUGUGAUCUAAUUAAAUAAUUAGGUAUGAUAUCCAA